rnacentral:pre_miRNA from 1 species
UCCGAUUUCAGUUGUGUGCUCCAGUGUCUAUCGUUUAACCUUUCGUCUUAUUUAAUAUUUUUUAUCAUUAGUAUUUUUAUUGUUAUUCGAUAAUAAUUAAAACAUGAAUAGUAUUUAAUGCUUACUUUUUUUAAGUUUUUUAAUUUUUUUUAAACAAGACGGAUGUUCAAACGUUUGAAACAGAAACCUACAACCUCACUUAAA